GUCCUCUAGAAUAUAAUUUGAGGUUUAACCUGCCCACUGAAAUUUUAAAUGGCCGCAGUAAUUUGACUGUGCAAAGGUAGCAUAAUCAUUAGUUUUUUAAUUAAAAGCUUGUAUGAAGGGUUGGACGAAGUAAAAUCUGUCUCUAUUUAAUUAAAAUUAGAAUUUAAUUUUUAAGUUAAAAAGCUUAAAUUUUAUUAAAAGACGAGAAGACCCUAUAGAUCUUUAUAUUAUUUAUAUUAAUUUUAUUUAAGAAUAAUUUAUUUUUUAUUAUAAAUAUUAUUUUAUUGGGGUAAUAAAAAGAUUAAAUUAAUUCUUUAUUUUUAUACAUUGAUUUAUGAUUAUAUGAUCCAAUUUUUUUUUGAUUAAAAGAUUAAGUUACCUUAGGGAUAACAGCGUAAUUUUUUUAGAGAGUUCAUAUCGAUAAAAAAGUUUGCGA
rnacentral:rRNA from 1 species